rnacentral:tRNA from 1 species
GCCGAUGUAGCUCAGUCGGUCAGAGCGGCUGUUUCGUAAACAGCAGGCCGGCGGUUCGAUUCCGCCCAUCGGCU